CUCAGUAACACGUGGAUAACCUUCCCUUAGGACCGGAAUAACCCCGGGAAACUGGGGAUAAUACCGGAUAGGCCAUAGACGCUGGAAUGCCCUAUGGUUCAAAGCUCCGGCGCCUAAGGAUGGAUCUGCGGUCUAUCAGGUUGUAGUGGGUGUAACGUACCUACUAGCCGACGACGGAUACGGGUUGUGAGAGCAAGAGCCCGGAGAUGGAUUCUGAGACACGAAUCCAGGCCCUACGGGGUGCAGCAGGCGCGAAAACUUUACAAUGCGGGAAACCGCGAUAAGGGGACACCGAGUGCCAGCAUAUUAUGUUGGCUGUCCACAUGUGUAAACGGCAUGUGUUAGCGAGGGCCGGGCAAGACCGGUGCCAGCCGCCGCGGUAACACCGGCGGCCCGAGUGGUAAUCACUUUUAUUGGGUCUAAAGGGUCCGUAGCCGGUUUGAUCAGUUCUUCGGGAAAUCUGACAGCUCAACUGUUAGGCUUCCGGGGAAUACUGUCAGACUUGGGACCGGGAGAGGUAAGAGGUACUACAGGGGUAGGAGUGAAAUCUUGUAAUCCCUGUGGGACCACCAGUGGCGAAGGCGUCUUACCAGAACGGGUCCGACGGUGAGGGACGAAAGCUGGGGGCACGAACCGGAUUAGAUACCCGGGUAGUCCCAGCCGUAAACGAUGUUCGCUAGGUGUCUGGGACGGUGCGACCGUUUCUGGUGCCGUAGGGAAGCCGUGAAGCAGCCACCUGGGAAGUACGGCCGCAAGGCUGAAACUAAA
rnacentral:rRNA from 1 species